CUGAUCAAAGAAAAAAGCUCAACUAUUUUUGUGAUGUGUUCCUAAUAUUGUGUAUAAAUAUAUUGGGAACAUUUUGCAUUUGUGGUUUUGUAUCAAUAUACAGA
rnacentral:pre_miRNA from 1 species